CUUUUUGUUACACAAUCUUGUUGCUGAUGAAUGUAAGAGGUUACUGACUGUAUAGAAACCCAAACCCCAAUGUGUCCUUUAGAUUACUGUAUCCAGGUAAAGCACUUGUGACGAAGUUGUAGAGUCCCAAACUAGAAUUAGAGUGUGCACACAGACAAACGAACCACAUAUUUAUAAGACUGCCUUUAUCCUUCAUUUGUCAGGUCAGAUGCUAGCAUAGUACAUGCAGGGUUAAUUUGGCUGAAUGUAUACAAGGGAUGCAACAAUACCACUUUUUCAUACUGGGUAUGCACCGAUACUGGAUAAUGCCAUUAUGACUUGCAAUUGUGAUAACAAUGCUUUUUUUUUUUUAACUAAUCAAAUAUUGUUCAAAACACAAAAUGUGUCACUCAAAUAAGUAACAGCUUGUACUGUAGUCCAUUUCAACUGCAUAUUUUGCAGAGACACAUUUCAUUAAAUGUAGCCUGUAAACAAGGCAUUUCAGUUAUGUCGUUUCUCAGUCUGUAAAACGAAUACAUAGAUAAAGAAGAAAUUAGAGACACAGAAAAACCUGAGCCUGCUGCGUAAUAAGUAAGAAUGUGGAUUGCUCAGGUAGUAGAGUGGCCUGCCUCCAAACCCAGAGGGUGUGGGUUAGAUCCCCGGCUCUUGUGACCAUUACCUUGGAAAAGGUACUAUUACCAUUCCAUGUGACUUCUGUGUAAAGUGAGUAUGAAUAUAAGACUGCUGCUUAAGAAUACCAAAAUAAAACUGCGACUGACCAUCUGAAGUGAUGUUUUGUCAGAGUCAGACCAUCGCUUGCUUCUCUUUACAUCCUCUGCUGCAACGGCCUCGUGACGGGAGCACGGCUGGCUUGGCCGGCUCGGCCGGAGCAGAGCCAGCGGGGCCCGAGAAACUUGGUGCUUACAGACGGUUUGACUGCACCAAAACCAAUACUGUUAUAGGCAUCACUGCAUCCCUGGUGUGUACACAAAUCAGUAUGGAAGAGGUAAUACAGUAAAACCAAUAAAAUGUCGGUGUUUGUUAUGCCGUCACAGACAACCAAGAUUAUUAAAGAUUAUUAGUUUUUUUAAAAUGCUUUUGCACAUACAAGCUUAAAAUUCUGGAAUCAACGAAUGGGCGUUACCACUUAAUAUUUUCCCAUUCCUCAUGAAAACACGGCUCCUAAUGUUUCCCCCGACAGACCUUGCAAGCGUGACUAAUUUUACCUUUCAAAACAGGAAAAUCCGCUGACUUUCCCACAAACGAAAGACUGAAGAACAACAGAGGCCAUGUCUCAGUCGUCGUGGUAGUUAAACAUUUUCCCUGCAAGUCCCAGCGCUCACUGUAUGAAAAGAGCCUCAAUAAACAGCACAUAAUUUCAUCUGUGUAAUCAUGUUAAGUGCGUCAUUGUGUGGUUUGGGCUUUAGAUGUUUUGUCAUGAAUGACUGAAUUCUGUGUUCUGAUUGUAAGUACCGGUACUUGUCGGUCAGCAGUCAAGGAUCUCACCUAGUGUGAAUAAAAUUCAAUUUCAUGGAUCCAGUUUGUUUUUAUGAGGACAGGGUCAACCUGUAAGACAUGACCAUGAAAGUGCGAUGACGCCGAGUUUCAAAUUAACAUUCGGUUGUUGGCUCAUUUUAUGGAAAAUUGUGGCGGCAGCCAAGUAUGACACACGAGCAUUUGCUGAAUCAAAUUUGGCAUGUGCCAGUAAAUCUUACAGUAUUUUAAAGUUUAAAGUGUGCAAUUCACUGUGGGUUGUGCCAUUGACUGUGAAGCGAAUCGAUUGUUUAAAGCACAAGCAGUCCUCGAUCAGAGUUAUCGUUCUUCCGGAAUAACACACGAUGAGCAUUUGUGGCACGGCAUUCUCUAUUCAUUCAGUCACAUGAAGUCAGAUGUGCACGCUUGGAUAUACCAGCGGCGUUGGUUCAUUCACUCUACAUUUUCACAGUUGCUUUUACAUAUUUCAUUCACAGAAAACGACCCAAACAAGUGCAAAUUGUUUCUCAGUCCGCCCUUUUUUUUUAAAUGAGCACUGUGAUUUCAACAGAUCUUUUUACGGGCCAGUGAUCUGUUCUUUUGUCCCC